GAAAUGCGAUAAGUAAUGUGAAUUGCAGAAUUCAGUGAAUCAUCGAAUCUUUGAACGCACAUUGCGCCCGCCAGUAUUCUGGCGGGCAUGCCUGUUCGAGCGUCAUUACAACCCUCAGGCCCCCGGGCCUGGCGUAGGGGAUCGGCGGAAGACCCCUGCGGGCACAACGCCGUCCCCCAAAUACAGUGGCGGUCCCGCCGCAGCUUCCAUUGCGUAGUAGCUAACACCUCGCAACUGGAGAGCGGCGCGGCCACGCCGUAAAACACCCAACUUCUGAAUGUUGACCUCGAAUCAGGUAGGAAUACCCGCUGAACUUAAGC
rnacentral:misc_RNA from 1 species